rnacentral:tRNA from 1 species
GGGGCGGUAGCUCAGAUGGGAGAGCGUCGCGUUCGCAAUGCGAAGGU